rnacentral:lncRNA from 1 species
GUAACGCUCGCCUGGGACUGUGUGCCGUCCUCUUCUCCAGCCGGAACUGCACCACAGGCAGCCUUUAUUGCAGGACCACCUCAUUGCUGAUAUGGGGACGUGUGGGUUAAAUCUUAACUGUCAACUUGACUGGAUUGAGAAACACUUGGAAGGUCUGUAAAAUCCGAAGGUAUUUCUAGUGAGGACUAAAGACGGCAGAAGACCUACCGCUGGCUGUGGCUGUCGUCACACAGCAGGAUGGAGGUUUGGGUGGGAUAAGGAGAGACCAAGGAAGCGUUGUCCCCUCAGGAGCAUCUUCUUUCUGCUUCCCAGCUGCCCUUUGUGAGCGGUUCUGUUCCUCACCCCCUACCCCGGCCCCGCUGCCUACCCCCAGCCUUAGUGGGUAGAAAUCUUGGAAACCAGGAGUUAAAAUAAAUUCUUUCUCCCUCAAGUA